CACAGGUGGUGAGACGGGAGCACACGGGGUGAGACGGGAACGCAGGGGUGAGACGGGAGCGCAGGGGUGAGACGGGAACACGGGUGAGACGGGAGUACACGGGGUGAGACGGGAGCGCAGGGGUUAGACGGGAGCGCAGGGGUGAGACGGGAGCGCAGGGGGUGGGACGGGAGCGCAGAGGGUGGGACAGGAGCGCAGGGGUGAGACAGGAGUGCAGGGGUGAGACGGGAGCACAUGGGUUCUGGCUCGCCCUCUUUCCCGCCCACGGCCCCUGCCCUGGCUGCCUGGCUGCUGGCUUCCCCAUCCUGCCUUCACCCCUCCCAGGGUCCUACCCCUGCUUUCCACCAGGGCCAGAAAGCGACAGGAGACUAGAAGGGUGCAGGGCGCGCCCCCCUCGGGAAGGGCGUCUGGCUGGGGUCUGGGCAGCCCCUCUGCGAGGCCGUCCUUGGAGGAGGGGCUGCCUGCCUUCCUGCCUGGUGGGAGAGAGCCUCUGGCCUGGAGGUGGUUCAGGUCGCACUUUGCCCACCUGCGGCCGUCGCGUGCUGGAACUCUCACCGCCUCCGCCUCUGCCCCGCUCGCUCGCUGCGUGCGGCUCUGGGGUCAGCUGGGCGUCAGAAGGCCCUCGUGAGGGUUUGCUCGCCCUCAGGUCCUUUGCCCCCGCUGCCCCCUCCCUGUCCUGCCUGUCUCGGGGACGCGCCUCUCGUGACUGCGCUGCGAGCCUCCGUGGGGUAUGUCCCUGCCCCGGGCUCCGAGCCCUCGCUGGCAGGGUCUCCCCACUGCUGUGCCGGGAAGGGUGUGCAGUGCAGCUCUGUGUGCUGCCGGGAGUGCCCGCGGCAGCCAGCAGUCCUGGGGGCCCCGCCUGGUCUCCCCCCCACCCCGCCUGGCCCCCACCCAGCCCCGCCUGGCCUUGGAUGGGGAGGUUCCUGCCCCGUUGCGGGUUCCAGACAAGGUGAAGGCCCACGGUGGUCCAGGCCGAGGGGCAGGAAGCCGCCCUCCUGGUCCCCCUGUGCUCUCUCGUGGUUUUGUGCGGUUGCUUUCCUUAUUGACACGACAAACGUUUCCCACCUGUCCCUGCUACUCGCUCUCCCGAGAAGGGAAGCAGAGACCUAAGCUGCCGCGAGCCCCGGGCCGUCCCCCACCCCUCACCCCCCCCGCCCGUGAUCUGCCGCGGCCACGCAGAGGGCACGCCUGCUGACUUGCAGAGCCGCCGCCGCCUCGUGGGGACGUGCAGGUUCUGGGUAAUCCCGUGCCUGGUCGCAGAGAGCCUCACUGGCUGCCUAAGCCAGGCUGUGGCGAGGUCGCCUCCACAAAGGGUAAGACGGGUAGACGAGCAGAGCUCACGAAAACCGUCAGCUGAGAGGACAGACUGCACCCAGUCCCUGCUCAGAAUCCCCGGGUCGUGCCGGCCUGUGGCCUCCACUCAGUGAGCUCAUCACAACGUGCCUUGUAGUCUGCCCCUGCUGUGUGUGCACGGACAUGCACAUGCAGGCCCGAUGUGCACGCACACACAGGCAAGGGACAUACGCUGUGUAACUGUGUGCAGUUGGGAUGUCGGCCUCCCAGGAGGCCAUGGUGCGUCCACCCCGCGGGGCAUGUGCUCAGGACACAGCGGGGAGAGGUGUCCCUGAGACAGGGCCCAGCGCAGGAGGCCGUGGUGCGUCCACCCCGCGGGACACAUGCUCAGGACACGGCGGGGAGAGGUGUCCCUGAGACAGGGCCCAGCGCAGGAGGCCGUGGUGCGUCCACCCCGCGGGACACAUGCUCAGGACACGGCGGGGAGAGGCGUCCCUGAGACAGGGCCCAGCGCAGGAGGCCGUGGUGCGUCCACCCCGUGGGGCACAUGCUCAGGACACAGCGGGGAGAGGCGUCCCUGAGACAGGGCCCAGCGCAGGAGGCCGUGGUGCGUCCACCCCGCGGGGCACGUGCUCAGGACACGGCGGGGAGAGGCGUCCCUGAGACAGGGCCCAGCGCAGGAGGCCGUGGUGCGUCCACCCCGCGGGGCACGUGCUCAGGACACGGCGGGGAGAGGCGUCCCUGAGACAGGGCCCAGCGCAGGAGGCCGUGGUGCGUCCACCCCGCGGGGCACGUGCUCAGGACACGGCGGGGAGAGGCGUCCCUGAGACAGGGCCCAGCGCAGGAGGCCGUGGUGCGUCCACCCCGCGGGGCACGUGCUCAGGACACGGCGGGGAGAGGCGUCCCUGAGACAGGGCCCAGCGCAGGAGGCCAUGGUGCGUCCACCCCACGGGGCAUGUGCUCAGGACACAGCGGGGAGAGGCGUCCCUGAGACAGGGCCCAGCGCAGGAGGCCGUGGUGCGUCCACCCCGCAGGACACAUGCUCAGGACACG